GAUGAACGCUGGCGGCGUGCCUAAUACAUGCAAGUCGAGCGAACAGACGAGGAGCUUGCUCCUCUGACGUUAGCGGCGGACGGGUGAGUAACACGUGGAUAACCUACCUAUAAGACUGGGAUAACUUCGGGAAACCGGAGCUAAUACCGGAUAAUAUAUUGAACCGCAUGGUUCAAUAGUGAAAGACGGUUUUGCUGUCACUUAUAGAUGGAUCCGCGCCGCAUUAGCUAGUUGGUAAGGUAACGGCUUACCAAGGCAACGAUGCGUAGCCGACCUGAGAGGGUGAUCGGCCACACUGGAACUGAGACACGGUCCAGACUCCUACGGGAGGCAGCAGUAGGGAAUCUUCCGCAAUGGGCGAAAGCCUGACGGAGCAACGCCGCGUGAGUGAUGAAGGUCUUCGGAUCGUAAAACUCUGUUAUUAGGGAAGAACAAAUGUGUAAGUAACUGUGCACGUCUUGACGGUACCUAAGCAGAAAGCCACGGCUAACUACGU
rnacentral:rRNA from 1 species